CGUUGUCUCGGCCUGUGGAUUAAUCAUCCCCGUCUGCCAGUCUGAAAAGCUCCGAAUAAGUGGGGACCUGUGGAGGUGGCUCAGUGCCUACACCUCUGGGCUGGUGUGCGUCGCCUGCAUCCUGGACGGCACCGCCGGGAUCCUCUGGAUGCGGGAGGAAGGCCCUUCUCUUGCCAUCAUAUUGCCCGAGAUCACCCUGAC